AGCUAUGCUACAUGAGGCCACG
rnacentral:miRNA from 1 species